ensembl:snoRNA U3 Small nucleolar RNA U3
AAGACUAUCCUUUCAGGGAUCAUUUCUAUAGUUUUUACUAGAGAAGUUUCUCUGUGUAGAAUACCGGAAACCAUGAAAAGGAGGUACAGUAUUCUUUCCUGUGCGUAAAGCUGGCUGGGGUACGGCUGCUGGGCAGCUGCCUUUUGCUAUUGAUGAUUGUCCUGCUCUGCCUCUGGUGGAGUUGGAGGGAGAGAACACAGUCUGAGUGGU